rnacentral:rRNA from 1 species
UGAGGAAUAUUGGUCAAUGGGCGCAAGCCUGAACCAGCCAUCCCGCGUGCAGGAAGACGGCCCUAUGGGUUGUAAACUGCUUUUCCAGGGAGAGAAACUUGCGUACGCGUUGCGCAAUUGACGGUACCCUGGGAAUAAGCAUCGGCUAACUCCGUGCCAGCAGCCGCGGUAAUACGGAGGAUGCGAGCGUUAUCCGGAUUCAUUGGGUUUAAAGGGUGCGUAGGCGGACUAUUAAGUCAGUGGUGAAAUCCUGCAGCUUAACUGCAGAACUGCCAUUGAUACUGAUAGCCUUGAGUUUGGUUAAGGUAGGCGGAAUGUGUAAUGUAGCGGUGAAAUGCUUAGAUAUUACACAGAACACCAAUUGCGUAGGCAGCUUACUGAGCCGACACUGACGCUGAG